rnacentral:rRNA from 1 species
AGCGAACGCUGGCGGCGUGCCUAACACAUGCAAGUCGAACGUGAAAGGGAGCAAUCCCAAGUAAAGUGGCGUACGGGUGAGUAACACGUAGGUAAUCUACCCCAGAAUCUGGAAUAACCGGCCGAAAGGCUGGCUAAUACUGGAUAGAGCGACGGAAUCCGUAAUUGGGUUUUUCGGGAAAGGGAGCCUGUAAAAAGGCCUUCGUUCUGGGAUGAGCCUGCGUCCCAUCAGCUAGUUGGUGAGGUAAAAGCUUACCAAGGCAAUGACGGGUAGCUGGUCUGAGAGGACGAUCAGCCACACUGGAACUGAAACACGGUCCAGACUCCUACGGGAGGCAGCAGUGGGGAAUCUUGCGCAAUGGACGAAAGUCUGACGCAGCAACGCCGCGUGAGUGAAGGAGGCCUUCGGGUUGUAAAGCUCUGUCGAGUGGGACGAAAAUGCUUGGAGUUCACAGCUCCAGGAACUGACGGUACCACUAAAGGAAGCACCGGCUAACUCCGUG